UAAAAUUCAAAAUUCGAAAUUCAAUAAAAAAAGAUAUAUAUAUAUGUAAUAAAAAUAUAAAAAAAAGAUUGUAGCUUGGCAGUUUAGUGGUUUCCACCUUUAAUAAUAUAUAUAUGGACCUUUGUGUCCCAAAAAAGAUUGUUUUAGUUCACUCACCAGAUUCUCGAUCCUUCGAUGUUCUGCCGGCAGCACCUCGACGAAUCCCUUUUGUGCCUUUGUGCACAAUAUUCACUUUUGGGGAUUUAAUAUAUUAUUAAUUAUUAAAAAUGAAAAAUCGCACUUUUUCCAAACUUCUUAAAUCUUCUUUUGUAAAAGAAAUAAAAAAAACUAAAUUUAACUUAAAAUUAACAAAAAAAAACAAUUUGGAGAACUUAAUUUUAACACUUAUUGUUUAAAAUCUACGUUAAAAUCUACGUUUUCUUCAAAAAAAAAUUCUUUUUAAAUUCACUUUCUUUUGUUCAAAAAAAAAAAAAAAAAUUCACUUCGCUGACGCUGGUUGAAUUCCUUGUUCUUCUUCUUUCUAAAGCCCUCCUUUGUAUAGAUGUAUAUAUACUUUCUAUAUAUAUACACUAUCUUGAGUGGAGUCUUCUUCAAGCUUCUCGUACUUUCGACCUUUGUUCUCUACGAACAAAGCAAAGUUUCCUUAGGAAUUGAUUCCAGCUGCUUCUGGUACAAUAUAUGUAUAUAUGUACAUAUAAAAAAAACCCCAGCAGAGGCCUAGAUUGAUUCGAUCUUCGACCUCUGCUUCGUAAAAUCUUUGAUUUUGUACUCUAGAUUUUCUAGAAGUUCCCCAAAAAAAGGUUCCUUUUGUCUCCUCACAAAUUCUGUAUACGUAUGUAUAUAUAUGUCUAUGCACCUUUUUAAUAAUAUUUCCACAAAAAAAAUUAUUUGAAUAAAUAUGCAAUCUAAUUUGCUAUCUGGUUUGCACAAACAAUUUUGCAAAAAAAUUGAUUUAAAUUUCGAUUUAAAUUUUUAUUUAAAUUUCGAUUUAAAAAAAAAAAACUGUGAUCACUGCUACGGUUGCUCUAUUUGAAUUCAAAUUCAAUUUUGCAAUGAUCAUGAAAUCUCGUUCUGUUUUAUUGUUUCGUUAGCUUUCUGUAAUUAUGUACAUAGUUACCUCUAUAUCUGAGUGAGAUAACUAACUUGCAACAAAAUAGUGGGUGGGGAAAUAUCUCCCAUCCUUAUCAAUUUUUUUUCUAACCCCCCUUGUCCAUAACCCAAGUUUACACAUACAUGUAAACACAUAAACAAUAACACUAUCUUUUGAUUCCCUUUAAUUAAACUCAUAGUAAUCCCAAUCCCAAUUAGUCGUACUAACAACAUUUGAACUAACCUUAAACCUAAAACAUUGAAAUUCCCUUAGAAAUCCAAAAAAAAACAUAAACACGAACAAACCUAACUGAGCGAAAAUUGUGGAACGCAUUUUUAUUUCCCCCUUUUCCUUUAAAAAUGAGUGUGACAGAUAUAUAAUUAUCUGAGAAAAACGAACCGCGACAUGAUGAUUGAUUUGUGAAUUGUCAAAAUAAACCACAAAUCAAAUCCUCAUGGCGGUCGUCUUUACCAAAGGUACUAGAAAAUGUUUUGCUGAUAUUACCAGGAGGCAUGAAGAUAAAAUCAUCACUAAAACUACAAUCAACGUGACUACAACAGAAAACAAAAAAAUCAUCGCCCAAAAAGAAAAGUAAACCACAACACAGAACAAUCAAGAUUGAGGCAAUUCCACCCUCAACCCCUCACGGAGCUAUAAGUAUCCGAGGAAGAUCUCCAUUAAUCCAGGUUUUAUUAUUAAUUUUUCGUAUUUAUGUGUUGUGUUGUUUUCGUUACCUCUCUAACUACUAAGGCCCAUUUCACACAUCGCCGAGAACCGGAUAAACGGCCCGGAUACACGGUUGCUAGGAUACACAAUCUUAUGGGCGCCUUCACACGUAGAAACCGAAACCGAAACCGUGUACACGGUUCGGGUGCCAGAGUGAAAUCAACUGCGCUUACUACAACCAGAGACAGAAGAAAUAUAUAUUUCUCUUGUCUUUGCUUCAACUUAGCUGCCGUUCUGGUUUCCUUCUCAUGUGCUGUAGUUGUAGUCAAGAAAGGGGUUGUUUUGUUUUUUUAUACUUUGAUGUCAGUUUGUAUUGUGAGGGAAGAUAGGGUUGUUUUGUGUUUUUAUAUUUUGAUGUCAGUUCGUAUUGUGUGGAGUUGCAGGUAAGAUAGGGGUUGUUUUUUUUUUCUGUUUAGGUAUAAAAUGAUCUAUUUUUUCUAUUAGAUAAAAUGGACAUUGACAUUGAUCACUUAAUUACUCUAGUCGAAUCUAGACCCAUACUUUGGGACAAAACUUUAAAAGAGUAUAAAGACCGCAAUGGAACAAGGAAUGCAUGGGAGGAGGUGUUUUCAGAAAUAAACUCUGAAUAUGAAAGAAUGGAAGGAAAAGAAAAAAAUGAGUAUGGUAAGUUUUUUUUUUUUUUUUUGUUUUUGAAGCAUACAAACAACUGAAUUAAAUGUUGUAAGUAUGCACGUUAGGGUGGAGUGAUUUUAUUUUUGUUUUUUAUUUUCGAAUUGGCAUAGUAAUAAAAAGUUGCGCUAUUUAUAAACGAACAAAACUGUAUACUUAAAAUUUUUAUGAAAUCGCUCCACCUUAGAGCACGUUCAAUCUCAAUUUAUAAAAGUGCAGUCUACAAACGUGGUAGUACCUAUCAAUAUUAAGAAUAUAAAAUUUAUGAUUAAAAAUUUUAUAAAUUGAGAUAUUAAAAAAUUGAAUUUCAGCUUUUAUCAUUUGAUAAAUGCAUUAUUGUACGUAUUGUUUUUUUU